CAGCAGCUGCUGGGGGUAGGAGGCUACCUUUCUUGCUCCUGCUGUCUACAGCCAGGCAAAAAGCCUCCACUUCUCCCUGCUGCUAUUGGUCACGUGGACCAGGAAAUGCUUGGAGGGGCUGGGAACGAGCUGUUGAUUGAGAGUGAGAGAGCCAAUGAGAAACCAGAGUAGUCGCUCACCCAGAGAGCUUUUUUUGGUGGGGGAUGGGGUUGGACUUAGCCUUCACUGUCUAUAAUACGGCAAAGGGUAGUGCAAGGUGCUUGCACUCAGCAGAGCCUGUGGCUGGUGGAAGGGAGCGCUGUCUUGUGGCAUCUCCUAUUGUCACUCUUGGCCUACGGAAGACAGCUGAUGCUGAGUUUGAAUGAUUCACUCUCCUCAAAUGCAUUUCUUUACUGCCUCAGUGAAGGAUGUGUUCUCUGAGCCCACCCAGAAAAACUGGCAGGGGCUGAUUGAGGCCGGGCUGUUGAGGACUGACAGUGGGGUUGCAGUCACUAGGAAAACAGUGAAGACCUUGUUCCUGACUUCAAAGGCGGUUUCACCCCGAUGA
rnacentral:lncRNA from 1 species